rnacentral:rRNA from 1 species
UAGAGUUUGAUCAUGGCUCAGAUUGAACGCUGGCGGCAGGCCUAACACAUGCAAGUCGAGCGGUAACAUUUCUAGCUUGCUAGAAGAUGACGAGCGGCGGACGGGUGAGUAAUGCUUGGGAACAUGCCUUGAGGUGGGGGACAACCAUUGGAAACGAUGGCUAAUACCGCAUAAUGUCUACGGACCAAAGGGGGCUUCGGCUCUCGCCUUUAGAUUGGCCCAAGUGGGAUUAGCUAGUUGGUGAGGUAAAGGCUCACCAAGGCGACGAUCCCUAGCUGGUUUGAGAGGAUGAUCAGCCACACUGGAACUGAGACACGGUCCAGACUCCUACGGGAGGCAGCAGUGGGGAAUAUUGCACAAUGGGCGCAAGCCUGAUGCAGCCAUGCCGCGUGUGUGAAGAAGGCCUUCGGGUUGUAAAGCACUUUCAGUCAGGAGGAAAGGUUAGUAGUUAAUACCUGCUAGCUGUGACGUUACUGACAGAAGAAGCACCGGCUAACUCCGUGCCAGCAGCCGCGGUAAUACGGAGGGUGCGAGCGUUAAUCGGAAUUACUGGGCGUAAAGCGUACGCAGGCGGUUUGUUAAGCGAGAUGUGAAAGCCCCGGGCUUAACCUGGGAACUGCAUUUCGAACUGGCAAACUAGAGUGUGAUAGAGGGUGGUAGAAUUUCAGGUGUAGCGGUGAAAUGCGUAGAGAUCUGAAGGAAUACCGAUGGCGAAGGCAGCCACCUGGGUCAACACUGACGCUCAUGUACAAAAGCGUGGGGAGCAAACAGGAUAAGAUACCCUGGUAAUCCACACCGUAAACGAUGUCUACUAGGAGCCGGGGUCUUCGGAACACUAUUA